rnacentral:hammerhead_ribozyme from 1 species
GCACUGCUGAGGAGUCCCACAAUAGGACGAAACCGCUAUCCAGUGC